rnacentral:rRNA from 1 species
AACGCUAGCUACAGGCUUAACACAUGCAAGUCGAGGGGCAGCAUUGGAGUAGCAAUACUUCAGAUGACGACCGGCGGAUGGGUGAGUAACACGUAUCCAACCUACCGUAUACACGGGGAUAGCCUUUCGAAAGAAAGAUUAAUACCCGAUGGUGUAAUGAGAUCUCCUGAUUUUAUUACUAAAGAUUUAUCGGUAUACGAUGGGGAUGCGUUCCAUUAGAUUGUUGGUAGGGUAACGGCCUACCAAGUCUACGAUGGAUAGGGGUUCUGAGAGGAAGAUCCCCCACAUUGGAACUGAGACACGGUCCAAACUCCUACGGGAGGCAGCAGUGAGGAAUCUUGGUCAAUGGGCGCAAGGCCUGAACCAGCCACGUAGCGUGAAGGAAGACUGCCCUUAGGGUUGUAAACUUCUUUUAUAAGGGAAUAACGUCGACAACGUGUUGUUGAUUGCAUGUACCUUAUGAAUAAGGAUCGGCUAACUCCGUGCCAGCAGCCGCGGUAAUACGGAGGAUCCGAGCGUUAUCCGGAUUUAUUGGGUUUAAAGGGUGCGUAGGCGGGAGAGGAAGUCAGUUGUGAAAUUUUAUGGCUCAACCAUAAACUUGCAGUUGAAACUCUUUUUCUUGAGUACACAAGAGGUGGGCGGAACUUGUGGUGUAGCGGUGAAAUGCUUAGAUAUCACGAAGAACUCCGAUUG